rnacentral:rRNA from 1 species
UGGGGAAUAUUGCACAAUGGGCGCAAGCCUGAUGCAGCCAUGCCGCGUGUAUGAAGAAGGCCUUCGGGUUGUAAAGUACUUUCAGCGGGGAGGAAGGGAGUAAAGUUAAUACCUUUGCUCAUUGACGUUACCCGCAGAAGAAGCACCGGCUAACUCCGUGCCAGCAGCCGCGGUAAUACGGAGGGUGCAAGCGUUAAUCGGAAUUACUGGGCGUAAAGCGCACGCAGGCGGUCUGUCAAGUCGGAUGUGAAAUCCCCGGGCUCAACCUGGGAACUGCAUUCGAAACUGGCAGGCUAGAGUCUUGUAGAGGGGGGUAGAAUUCCAGGUGUAGCGGUGAAAUGCGUAGAGGUCUGGAGGAAUACCGGUGGCGAAGGCGGCCCCCUGGACAAAGACUGACGCUCAGGUGCGAAAGCGUGGGGAGCAAACAGG